rnacentral:lncRNA from 1 species
AUGCCACAUAGCAACCGGUGGCCAGACCUCCACUGUAGCCCCGAGAGCUGUUUUCAAAGGUGGCCGUUUUGCUGUUCUUUCAGGUGGCUUCCUAUGGUGAAGAACAGGAAAACCGCAGCCCCCAAAGGAAGCCAAGUCCAGUGCAGGUUUCAUUCCUCCCCACCGGCCCCACGAGCCGGCCGCGGGGCUGCAGAGGACCGGCAGCCACCAGCGCAGCGCGGCGUUUUGGUGUUGCAUCCUUUCCAGCAACGUGAAGCAGCGGCACCGCUCCGUUCGGACGGAGCGAUGACGCACCUCGCUUUGCGGGCAGAGCCCGGCCCUUUGGUUUCCCUUGACGCGGUAAUAGCUUUGCGCAGCAUGCUUCAGAGCUCCGCUUGGGAUCGUGUCCUUCCCGCAGCUUUUAUUUUUGGCCUCUGGCAAGGAAUAAUUGAUGACAUCCGCAGGCGGAGGCUGCGACGGCAAAUUCUGCCUCUCGAAAUAGCAGCCUCGCUGCGGGCGGCAUGAGGGGCUGCGGUGGCUGGUUUCGGAGACCCGGCGGGAGGGCUGGGAUUUCGGCACCCUCGUGCCGGUGUACCCUAGGUGUGUCAGCCCAAAAUGCUGCGYGAGGUCCUGCUUUUGGGUGACGCAAAGCUCCUGCCUGCUGCUUCCCCUUGCCAGUCUUGGCUGACCUGCCAGGAGCACCGCUCGCCGCCCCGGCAUGCUGCUCUCGGAUGGGGUUAGGACGUGUUGGCGAGGGAUGGGUUUAGCUUCCURCGUAGUUACCUGCCUCCAUCAGGGUGCCGCUGGCACGACAGCGAGGAGGGAACGGAGCAGGUAGGGAUGGACAGCACCGAAACCAAGCGCCACGGGCAAGAAGGCCCCAGAGGGCAAGCUGCCUGCCCGCGCUGCCCCGCGCCUCUGAAGGAGAGCCUUCGCGGGUAAAAAAUUAUACCCGGGGGAAAAAACACACGGAAAUGUAUAAAUUCUGUAAUAGUGGGGCUGCUGACUACAGGCUGCUUAGGAAGAAAUUUCCGCUCCCACACAAGGAGCCGUCAGGCCGUGGCCGUGCCUAACGCUCGGUUUUCUGCAGCUUGAGUCCACCGGAGUUUUGUUAAAAAACACACGCGCGCGCGCACACACACUCAAAAAAAAACCACAAGAAAACCUCUCAGCUUUACGCUGGAGGAAAACAGUCUGUUUAGGACCAAGGAGCGUGACAAUUCCAUAAUUUCGAAAUAAGGCGCUUAGGUUAUAGCACUGUAGCAGGAGAGAAGAGAAUGGUGCUUCUUAUUUGAAGGUCAAAGCUAAAAAACGUGGCAUGUAUGAACUAUGCUCUUUCUGUUCUUGGUCCGUAAUUCUUUCCUAGGAGAUGCAAGAGCAUGAAUAUAUAYGGAUAUUCAAUUUGUCAGUGAUGAAGCUUUAUACGUUUUGUCAAUGAAAAUGCUCUUAAGCUCACGGGGACAAUACUAUUUGCCUAGUAAGCUGGGGAUUUGGCAUAACAAAUAACCAAUGACUUCACUUCAUUUUUAAGUCAAUAAUAAAGACACACUCUCAGUUAAAUUUAAUUCCA